rnacentral:rRNA from 2 species
AAANAUUUAUCGGCUUAAGAUGAGCCCGCGUUGGAUUAGCUGGUUGGUGGGGUAAAGGCCUACCAAGGCGACGAUCCAUAGCUGGUCUGAGAGGAUGAUCAGCCACACUGGGACUGAGACACGGCCCAGACUCCUACGGGAGGCAGCAGUGGGGAAUAUUGGACAAUGGGCGCAAGCCUGAUCCAGCCAUGCCGCGUGAGUGAAGAAGGCCUUAGGGUUGUAAAGCUCUUUCACCGGUGAAGAUAAUGACGGUAGCCGGAGAAGAAGCCCCGGCUAACUUCGUGCCAGCAGCCGCGGUAAUACGAAGGGGGCUAGCGUUGUUCGGAUUUACUGGGCGUAAAGCGCGCGUAGGCGGAUAGAUAAGUCAGAGGUGAAAUCCCGGGGCUCAACCCCGGAAUUGCCUUUGAUACUGUUUAUCUUGAGUGCAGAAGAGGUAAGUGGAAUUCCGAGUG